UACAGAGGGUGCGAGCGUUAAUCGGAAUUACUGGGCGUAAAGCGUGCGUAGACGGUUGUUUAAGUCAGAUGUGAAAGCCCCGGGCUCAACCUGGGAAUUGCAUUCGAGACUGAAUAGCUAGGGUGCGGUAGAGGGAAGCGGAAUUUCCGGUGUAGCGGUGAAAUGCGUAGAUAUCGGAAGGAACAUCAGUGGCGAAAGCGGCUUCCUGGACCAGCACCGACGUUCAGGCACGAAAGCGUGGGGAGCAAACAGG
rnacentral:rRNA from 1 species